GUCAAAUCGCUGAUGGGGAAUAGUAAGUAAUGUAACUCUGCAGAGAGCCGUCGGAAGGUGCAAGACGGUGGGCUAAAUUACUGAAUCUCGCCCUGGAGAUGUUCGAUGGAAAUAGUAAGUACUUCGAACCGGGUAUGCCCGUUACAGCUAUAAAGAGGGUAAGUUUACUAACUUAUCAACUAGGGUGGUAACGCGGGAAAGCCUCUCGUCCCUUAC
rnacentral:ncRNA from 1 species